AAAAUUUAAAAUUAAGAUACUAAAAUAGUAGAUAAAUAUUUAUUUAAACUUAAAUAAUUUGGCGGUAUUUUAGUUCAUUUAGAGGAAUCUGUUUAUUAAUUGAUAUUCCACGAAUAAAUUUACUUAAUUUAUUAUUUUGUAUAUCGUUGUUAUAAAAAUAUUUUUUAAUAAUAAUUAAUAUUUAAAAAUUAAUAUAUAUAAAUUUAAAUCAGAUCAAGAUGCAGAUUAUAAUUAAGAAUAUAAUGGAUUACAAUAAAUUUAUUUAAAUGAAUAUUAAUUUGUAAAAAUUAAUUUAAAGUGGAUUUAAAUGUAAUUUUAUUUAAUUUAAUAAAAUGAUUAAAAAUUAAAAUAUGU
rnacentral:rRNA from 1 species